AUGUACUUACUUUGUUUGUUCU
rnacentral:miRNA from 3 species